rnacentral:rRNA from 1 species
UACAUAGGGGGCAAGCGUUAUCCGGAAUUAUUGGGUGUAAAGGGUGCGUAGACGGAGAAACAAGUUGGUUGUGAAAUCCCUCGGCUCAACCGAGGUACUGCAACCAAAACUAUUUCCCUUGAGUGUCGGAGAGGAAAGUGGAAUUCCUAGUGUAGCGGUGAAAUGCGUAGAUAUUAGGAGGAACACCAGUGGCGAAGGCGACUUUCUGGACGAUAACUGACGUUGAGGCACGAAAGUGUGGGGAGCAAACAGG